rnacentral:rRNA from 1 species
CCUACGGGGGGCUGCAGUGGGGAAUAUUGGACAAUGGGGGGAACCCUGAUCCAGCCAUGCCGCGUGUGUGAAGAAGGCCCUCGGGUUGUAAAGCACUUUCAGUGAGGAAGAACGCCUGGUGGUUAAUACCCAUCAGGAAAGACAUCACUCACAGAAGAGGCACCGGCUAACUCCGUGCCAGCAGCCGCGGUAAUACGGAGGGUGCGAGCGUUAAUCGGAAUUACUGGGCGUAAAGCGCGCGUAGGUGGCUUGAUAAGCCGGUUGUGAAAGCCCCGGGCUCAACCUGGGAACGGCAUCCGGAACUGUCAAGCUAGAGUGCAGGAGAGGAAGGUAGAAUUCCCGGUGUAGCGGUGAAAUGCGUAGAGAUCGGGAGGAAUACCAGUGGCGAAGGCGGCCUUCUGGACUGACACUGACACUGAGGUGCGAAAGCGUGGGUAGCAAACAGGAUUAGAUACCCUUGUAGUC